UGUUAAAAAUUUUAUCCAUUUGUAUUGUUAAAGACUAACAUGGCUAGUAGAAUAACUAGACACGUCACGUGUGCCUCGUGCUAAUGUACAAGGACUAGUUUUAACCGUAUAAAUGGAUGAAUUUUUUAACA
rfam:Gossypium hirsutum cultivar TM-1 chromosome 26, whole genome shotgun sequence